UUUUGACCAAUUUCUAUCCCAUACCUUUGUGAACUGUUUUGGUUACUUUGGCGGGGUCGCAGCUAAUGCGCCCAUUUUAGGGACUCCCCGCCAAGGUCAUUGCAAACUUUAGUUUAAAAUGUUAGAAAGUAAUUUAUUAAAUYUAUACAACUUUUAGCAACGGAUCUCUUGGCUCUCGCAUCGAUGAAGAACGCAGCGAAAUGCGAUACGUAGUGUGAAUUGCAGAAUCCAGUGAACCAUCGAAUCUUUGAACGCACAUUGCACCUAUUGGUAUUCCGAUAGGUAUGCCUAUUUGAGUGUUAUGAACUUCUCAUCCAAAUCCUUUGGAUGGUCUUGAGCUUGCGUUGGCUAGCUCGAAAUUAAUAGGGUAAACACCUACCAUGUCUAUCGUCAUAUUUWUUUGCGAUAUAUCCAUUGGUACUUAGUAACCCAUAAUAAUUUUUCAAUCUUAGCCUCAAAUUAGGUAGGAAUACCCGCUGAACUUAAGCAUAUCAAUAAGCGGAGGAAAAGAAAAUAACAAUGAUUCCCUUAGUAACGGCGAGUGAAGUGGGAAGAGCUCAAAUUUGAAAUCUGGCACCUUUGGUGUCCGAGUUGUAAUUUCUAGAAGUGUUUUCAGUGCUUAGCUAGGUAUAAAUCCUUUGGAACAGGGUAUCAUAGAGGGUGAGAAUCCCGUCUUUGACCUAGACUAUGUACUAUGUGAUACACUUUCAAAGAGUCGAGUUGUUUGGGAAUGCAGCUCUAAAUGGGUGGUAAAUUCCAUCUAAAGCUAAAUAUAGGCGAGAGACCGAUAGCGAACAAGUACCGUGAGGGAAAGAUGAAAAGAACUUUGAAAAGAGAGUGAAAAAGUACGUGAAAUUGCUAAAAGGGAAGCGAAAGAGACCAGUCUUACUAGCUAAUAAUCAACCUUACUUUGUAUGGUGCACUUAUUAGUUAGUAGGCCAACAUCAGUUUUCUUUAUUAGAUAAUGGUAAAAGGAAUGUAGCUUCUUGUAAGUGUUAUAGCCUUUUACUUGAUAUAAUAGAGGGGACUGAGGACUGCAGCACACUGUAAGGCGGCCUUUGGGCCUCUGUGCUAAGGAUGUUGGCAUAAUGGUCUUUUCCGACCCGUCUUGAAACACGGACCAAGGAGUCUAACAUAUUUGCGAGUGUUUGGGUGGUAAACCCGAGCGCGAAAUGAAAGUGAAUGCAGGUGGGAGCUUAAUUGCGCACCAUCGACCGAUCUUGAUCUUCUGGGAUAGAUUUGAGUAGGAGCAAAUAUGCUGGGACCCGAAAGAUGGUGAACUAUGCCUGAAUAGGG
rnacentral:rRNA from 1 species